ensembl:lncRNA uncharacterized LOC114448618
GGUUGCAGGGGUCAUCCAGCUUAUCCCAGCUGUAACAGGUCACCAGUCUAUCAAAAGGGCCACACUGAGACAAACAACUAUUCCUAUGGCCAGUAUAUUCACCAAUUAACCAUUCUAAGAUGCCAGUGAACCGAGUAGGUCCCACGUGGGCCAUCUCCACACAGAAGGACCCCAGCUGGCUCACAGGUUUAACCCUUCUCUGUACCUUCCCCCAGCACCGCCAUGCCACACAGUAAGGGCCAAGUAUACAGUCCAGCCACAUUGCACCUUUGUGAGCAGUGGUGUCAUAUUCAGUUUUUGCCACAUGGUGGCACUGUGGAUCACACAAUGAGGGAAACAAAAAAAGGAAACACUAACAGGCAGGUGGUUUCAUAUUGAGACUUCUGUGUUACUUAAGGAACUAAGAACUGGUGGAGACACACUAAAAAAGGUAAAAGAGAGAACCAUCCUUUGUCUCACUGCAUUGCACAGAGAAUGGAGCAGCACUUUACCCAGCUUUUAUUUAUUCUGGUGAUUGUAACAUCUGAAUGCAGAGUUGUCUCCUCAGUGACUGAAACUGUGUCAGCUUCUAAAGAGGAAGAUGUAACUCUCUCCUGUUUAAAUUCAACUCUGGUGGAACCAAAGAGCUGCUACAGAGUCAGAUGGAUAAAGCAUGGCGCAGGUACCAGUCAGGAGAAGGUCCUCUCUCUGUGGCCAAAGAAAGUCAGUGCUGACUAUCAUGCACAAGGGGAAUCUGAUAUAAAAGGACAAAGUCGCCUUUUUCUAACAAAGUUACAAAAAUCUGAUGAAGGCCGGUACAGCUGUGAAAUAUGGCGAGGAUGGGACCUUCUACACAUCAGGAACAUAUCUCUAAAAGUGAAAGACUGCAAAGCCCUUCCACCAGUGGAAGCAGAGCCCUCUACACCUGUCCACCUGAGCUGUCCCUUUAACACAACACUGGGACAGCAAGGACUCUACAACGUCUCCUGGGCAAAGCUGAGAGGAGAUCACCCUAUGUCUGUGGACUCUAACAGGGUUGAAAUGAACGGCACAUCACUGCUUCUCCAGUCUGUGAAUACCACUGACAGUGCUUGGUACAGAUGUAGUUAUAUGUACGGACAAACCUGGCGCUGCUUUGACAUCAAGCUGCUUGUCCAAGUGAAACAUGCGUUCACAACCAUCCCAGUUAUUGCAACACAAACUCAACAAGUGACGGCCAAUCAGAUUGCUGGGACUGAUGAGCAGGAGCGGAGCAAUGACGUGUUGGCUGCAGUUGUGGCAUCAGUCAUUUCUGGCAUCAUCCUGAUUGCUGCACUGGCGGGACUGUUCAUUUACAGACGCAGACGUGACAAUCAGAGAGCCAGGCUGCAACCCCAGAUGCUCACCACAGGUUGCAUUGAGGACGGUUACGAGCCUCUGAAUUUGGUAUCAUCACGUGGUGAUUAUGCUCAGAAAGUCAACAGUAUAUACAGAUUUCCAGAUGAAAGCUUGCAUACUUUCCGGCUUUAGUCACUCUUAGACUACUCAAGAAAAAGAAGAUUAUCUUCAUUAAACCCAACUGGAUUAUCUAAUCUGGAUGAUUUUAUCAUGUUGAAAUGUGCAACCUAAAAUCAGAACUAAUCAUUUAGUCUCGUCAAAUGCUUGUAUGCAACUUGUGCUGUUUUCUGGAUUAUCAGUUACUAUUGUCGUAUUGAUCAUUUUGUUGCUUCUGUGCUGAAUGCUUGCACUUAAAAUAACUAGAAGUGAAUAUCACAAUACAGAGAAGAAUGUGCAGUUAUACACUUAUGUUCCCGUGUUGAGCUGCAGAUUUUCAUCCACAGGCAGAUGUGGCAGAUCUAUAUGGAUCAAGUUUCAGUUUCCUUAAACACAUGGUUAAUAAACUGCUAAAGGCUAAAACA